rnacentral:rRNA from 1 species
AUUGAACGCUGGCGGCAUGCUUUACACAUGCAAGUCGAACGGCAGCGCGGGCUUCGGCCUGGCGGCGAGUUGCGAACGGGUGAGUAAUACAUCGGUACGUGCCCAGCAGUGGGGGAUAGCUCGGCUACAGCCGGAUUAAUACCGCAUACGACCUGAGUGUGAAAGCGGGGGAUCUUCGGACCACGCGGUUUUUGGGCGGCCGAUGGCAGAUUAGCUAGUUGGUGGGGUAAAGGCCUACCAAGGCGACGAUCUGUAGCUGGUCUGAGAGGGCGACCAGCCACACUGGGACUGAGACACGGCCCAGACUCCUACGGGAGGCAGCAGUAGGGAAUCUUGGACAAUGGGCGAAAGCCUGACCCAGCAAUGCCGCGUGUGUGAUGAAGGCCUUCGGGUCGUAAAGCACUUUUGGCAGGAACGAAAAGGAGUGUACCAAUACCACGGUUCGAUGACGGUACCCGCAGAAAAAGCAACGGCUAACUACGUG